AUGCUCCUGGACUGGAAUCAACAUCGAAGAAGAAUAACAAGUCUGUGGCUUGGGAGCACUUCACAAAGAUGAAGAAUCCAUAUGGGACUCCGAUUGGUGGAUCCUUUUAGGGGCAGCUUGACUCCUAGAAUGGUUGAGUGCCUUGUGUGUUGCUCAGAUUGGUUAAGGGUUGCCGGAAAGUCUCUAUUCAAAGAGCCAACCAAAACUGAACUUGAGGUCUACGGUGAAUUGGAGAAACUUGAGCAAGAUGUUGGAAUUACCUAUCUUUCAGAUAUUGAGGAGUGAUUCUGCAGAUCCGCUUGAUUAUGGUCGAUGGAAGGGAAGUAGCCAAGAUGAAGAAUGAAGAAUGAAGAGGAGAAAGCCAAGCUGAAGUGUUGCUUAUGUUCUUAGCU